UAGGGAAUCUUCCACAAUGGACGCAAGUCUGAUGGAGCAACGCCGCGUGAGUGAAGAAGGCUUUCGGGUCGUAAAACUCUGUUAUUGAAGAAGAACGUGUGUGACAGUAACUGGUCAUGCAGUGACGGUAUUCAAUCAGAAAGUCACGGCUAACUACGUGCCAGCAGCCGCGGUAAUACGUAGGUGGCAAGCGUUGUCCGGAUUUAUUGGGCGUAAAGCGAGUGCAGGCGGUCUUUUAAGUCUGAUGUGAAAGCCUUCGGCUUAACCGAAGAAGGGCAUCGGAAACUGGGAGACUUGAGUGCAGAAGAGGAGAGUGGAACUCCAUGUGUAGCGGUGAAAUGCGUAGAUAUAUGGAAGAACACCAGUGGCGAAGGCGGCUCUCUGAUCUGUAACUGACGCUGAGGCUCGAAAGCGUGGGUAGCAAACAGGAUUAGAUACCCUGGUAGUCCACGCCGUAAACGAUGAAU
rnacentral:rRNA from 1 species